GACGAACGCUGGCGGCGUGCUUAACACAUGCAAGUCGAACGGAAAGGCCCUGCUUUUGUGGGGUUCUCGAGUGGCGAACGGGUGAGUAACACGUGAGUAACCUGCCCUUGACUUUGGGAUAACUUCAGGAAACUGGGGCUAAUACCGGAUAGGAGCUCCUGCUGCAUGGUGGGGGUUGGAAAGUUUCGGCGGUUGGGGAUGGACUCGCGGCUUAUCAGCUUGUUGGUGGGGUAGUGGCUUACCAAGGCUUUGACGGGUAGCCGGCCUGAGAGGGUGACCGGCCACCUUGGGACUGAGAUACGGCCCAGACUCCUACGGGAGGCAGCAGUGGGGAAUAUUGCACAAUGGGCGGAAGCCUGAUGCAGCAACGCCGCGUGCGGGAUGACGGCCUUCGGGUUGUAAACCGCUUUCGCCUGUGACGAAGCGUGAGUGACGGUAAUGGGUAAAGAAGCACCGGCUAACUACGUG
rnacentral:rRNA from 1 species